rnacentral:rRNA from 1 species
CGUGCAGGUGGUUUGGUAAGUUGGGUAUGAAAUCUCCUGGCUUAAUUAGGAGAGGUUGCUCAAAACUACCAGACUAGAGGACGAUAGAGGAAGGUGGAAUUCCCGGUGUAGUAGUGAAAUGCGUAGAUAUCGGGAGGAACACCAGUGGCGAAGGCGGCCUUCUGGGUCGUUCCUGACACUAAGACGCGAAAGCAUGGGUAGCAAACG